UACGGAGGGUGCAAGCGUUAUCCGGAUUCACUGGGUUUAAAGGGUGCGUAGGCGGAUAUGUAAGUCCGUGGUGAAAUCUCUGGGCUUAACCCGGAACUGCCAUGGAUACUAUGUGUCUUGAAUGUUGUUGAGGUGAGCGGAAUAUGUCAUGUAGCGGUGAAAUGCUUAGAUAUGACAUAGAACACCAAUUGCGAAGGCAGCUCACUAAGCAAAUAUUGACGCUGAGGCACGAAAGCGUGGGGAUCAAACAGG
rnacentral:rRNA from 1 species